rnacentral:sRNA from 1 species
UUGAUUUAUAAAUAUUCAGGUUCCCCUCCCUUGAAUGUUGGUGCCAUUUGUAUCUCCGCACUCAUCCUGUCAUAUUAAUUUUUUUUCCUUUUCCCCCCCUUUGUUUGUUUGUUUCCAGUUGUCUAACGGGUUUUCUCACUAUAGUUUAUCAAGUGAGUCCCACGUGGGGCCCACGGGUGCAGGCCUUUUCCCUCAUUGCCUGCCUGCCUCCCGCCUGCUCCCUCGGGUCACCUCUGUCCACCUUCCAGACUACGCUCAUUAUUACACCAUUGGGCCCGGCAUGUUCCCGUCAUCUCAGAUCCCUAGCUGGAAGGACUGGGCUAAGCCUGGGCCCUAUGACCAGCCUCUGGUGAACACCCUGCAGCGCCGCAAAGAGAAGCGAGAACCGGACCCCAACGCGGGAGGACCCACUACCGCCAGCGGCCCGCCUGCAGCAGCUGAGGAGGCUCAGAGACCACGGAGCAUGACUGUGUCGGCUGCCACCAGG